rnacentral:rRNA from 1 species
AACGAACGCUGGCGGCAGGCUUAACACAUGCAAGUCGAGCGCCCCGCAAGGGGAGCGGCAGACGGGUGAGUAACGCGUGGGAAUCUACCCAUCUCUACGGAAUAACGCAUGGAAACGUGUGCUAAUACCGUAUACGUCCUUCGGGAGGAAGAUUUAUCGGAGAUGGAUGAGCCCGCGUUGGAUUAGCUAGUUGGUGGGGUAAAGGCCUACCAAGGCGACGAUCCAUAGCUGGUCUGAGAGGAUGAUCAGCCACACUGGGACGGAGACACGGCCCAGACUCCUACGGGAGGCAGCAGUGGGGAAUAUUGGACAAUGGGCGCAAGCCUGAUCCAGCCAUGCCGCGUGAGUGAUGAAGGCCCUAGGGUUGUAAAGCUCUUUCACCGGUGAAGAUAAUGACGGUAACCAGAGAAGAAGCCCCGGCUAACUUCGUGCCAGCCGCCGCAGUAAGA